GACGAACGCUGGCGGCGUGCUUAACACAUGCAAGUCGAACGGAAAGGCCCUGCUUUUGUGGGGUGCUCGAGUGGCGAACGGGUGAGUAACACGUGAGUAACCUGCCCUUGACUUUGGGAUAACUUCAGGAAACUGGGGCUAAUACCGGAUAGGAGCUCCUGCUGCAUGGUGGGGGUUGGAAAGUUUCGGCGGUUGGGGAUGGACUCGCGGCUUAUCAGCUUGUUGGUGGGGUAGUGGCUUACCAAGGCUUUGACGGGUAGCCGGCCUGAGGGGGUGACCGGCCACAUUGGGACUGAGAUACGGCCCAGACUCCUACGGGAGGCAGCAGCGGGGAAUAUUGCACAAUGGGCGGAAGCCUGAUGCAGCAACGCCGCGUGCGGGAUGACGGCCUUCGGGUUGUAAACCGCUUUCGCCUGUGACGAAGCGUGAGUGACGGUAAUGGGUAAAGAAGCACCGGCUAACUACGCG
rnacentral:rRNA from 1 species